UACGGGGGGAGCAAGCGUUGUUCGGAUUUACUGGGCGUAAAGGGUGCGUAGGCGGGUUGGGAAGUCCGUGGUGAAAUCUCCGAGCUUAACUCGGAAACUGCCGUGGAUACUAUCAAUCUUGAAUAUCGUGGAGGUAAGCGGAAUAUGUCAUGUAGCGGUGAAAUGCUUAGAGAUGACAUAGAACACCAAUUGCGUAGGCAGCAUCCUGGCCCUGUACUGACGCUGAGGCGCGAUAGCGUGGGGAGCAAACGGG
rnacentral:rRNA from 1 species